rnacentral:rRNA from 1 species
CCUACGGGUGGCAGCAGUGGGGAAUAUUGCACAAUGGGGGAAACCCUGAUGCAGCGACGCCGCGUGAGCGAUGAAGUAUUUCGGUAUGUAAAGCUCUAUCAGCAGGGAAGAAAAUGACGGUACCUGACUAAGAAGCCCCGGCUAACUACGUGCCAGCAGCCGCGGUAAUACGUAGGGGGCCAGCGUUAUCCGAAUUUACUGGGUGUAAAGGGAGCGUAGGCGGGGUGGCAAGUCAGAUGUGAAAGCCCGGGGCUCAACCCCGGGACUGCAUUUGAAACUGUUGUACUAGAGUGCAGGAGAGGCAGGCGGAAUUCCUAGUGUAGCGGUGAAAUGCGUAGAUAGUAGGAGGAACACCAGUGGCGAAGGCGGCCUGCUGGACGAUGAAUGACGUUGAGGCUCGAAAGCGUGGGGAGCAAACAGGAUUAGAUACCCGAGUAGUC